UUACUGUGUCCCUUAUCUUUCUGUUUUUGUAUAUUAUAGAGAAUCCAGAUACAGCAGGACAGGAUGAUUUGUGAAAACAGGAAGAAAGUGUGGUCAAUAUGUCAGUUUCAUGAUUACCAAUGUAAAUAAUUUGUUAAUAUGUUAAUUUGUUAAUAUGUAAAAUGUUAAUAAUUGCAUACAUUCGGUUCGCUUAUAUGUUCCCAAGCAUUAAAAGGUACAUAUGUACCUUUUUCUUUAAAGGUUAAGGUACAAUAUCAAGAGCCAGCCCUGAUUGGCUGCUUGAUUUUCAAAUUAAAAGAACGUCCAGUUGGCGGUCUUUCUUUCGGCGGAGACGAAGUCAUAGCACGUAACAGGGCAGUAAAAUCAGCAGUGUAAUAUUUGCAGUGUUAAAAGUUAUUAAUUCCCAAAUAUUUGAAUUAACAAUCCACAGUGUUAAACAGUACUCGUGUUCAGUGUUGUUAUAUGGUGUAAUUUCACUUUUACACUAAAAGUGCGAAAUAAAAGACCCGCCGAAUUGUCUGGACUCCGCCCUUCAGUGACUGCUGCCUCGCGAAGCGACAACGCCAUCUUUUCUUCGAGCGACCGAUACGUUGGUCGUCCUCUCGCCUCUGUUCCCUCCUCGGCCUGGGGUUACUGCGAAUCUGGCGCUGAAGACUGAAGCUGCUAACGUUAUAUUCGAAGCCUCAGAAGACCUUCAAGGAUCCAGUUGACCUCUGAAUCAGCUGUUAAGAAAAUGGGACAGUUAUAUUGCUUCAAUUGGUCUCCUACUUCAUUUGAUUCCACCAUCAUUACAAGGCUGCAAGGGAUCUGGAAAAAUGUCAUCCUGUCAAGCUGAAAAACAUCUUCAAAAAGGCACUAACAAGAACAGCUUGAUUGCAGAGAAGAGACCACACAGCCAUACACGCUCACUGAUGGGACAGUGAGGAACAUCAUUCAUGGAUGCUACACAACUCAAAUCUACACGUCAUAUUUGUUCAUGUCUAGGUAAAUUUGAUGAUUUUGUGUUUUAUUAAUUACUUUGUUUCUGUGCAACACUUAAUGAAUGUGACUGACUAAUUAACCUCUACACAUCUGGUAUAUGCUUUAAAGUUGCCACUUUGCCCAUUUGUUCAAUAAAUGUUGAAAUGUAUACAUCUGUCUGAAGACUU
ensembl:lncRNA